GGCUUGUUGCUUCACCUUGAAAACCCGCGGUUCAACUGUGGGCUUGCAGCUGAUACGGGCAGGCUUGAGUUCGGUAGGGGAGACUGGAAUUCCUGGUGUAGCGGUGAAAUGCGCAGAUAUCAGGAGGAACACCGGUGGCGAAGGCGGGUCUCUGGGCCGAUACUGACGCUGAGGAGCGAAAGCGUGGGGAGCGAACAGGAUUAGAUACCCUGGUAGUCCACGCUGUAAACGUUGGGCGCUAGGUGUGGGGGGCCUCUCCGGUUCUCUGUGCCGCAGCUAACGCAUUAAGCGCCCCGCCUGGGGAGUACGGCCGCAAGGCUAAAACUCAAAGGAAUUGACGGGGGCCCGCACAAGCGGCGGAGCAUGCGGAUUAAUUCGAUGCAACGCGAAGAACCUUACCUGGGUUUGACAUGGGCGCUAAAACCGCAGAGAUGUGGUGUCCUUCGGGGGCGUUCACAGGUGGUGCAUGGCUGUCGUCAGCUCGUGUCGUGAGAUGCGGGCUAAGUC
rnacentral:rRNA from 1 species